rnacentral:rRNA from 1 species
UUAGAUACCNUGGUAGUCCACGCCGUAACCGAUGACUANUAGGUUCGGGCAGCAAAGCUGUUCGGUGCCGCAGCAAACGCAAUAAGUAGUCCACNUGGGGAGUACGUUCGCNAAGAAUGAAACUCAAAAGGAAUUGACGGGGACCCGCACAAGCGGUNGGAGCAUGUGGUUUAAUUCGAAGCAACGCGAAGAACCUUACCUGGCCUUGACAUCCCCCCUGGCCGGCUCGUAAUGGGGCCUUUCCUUCGGGACAGGGGAGACAGGUGGUGCAUGGUUGUCGUCAGCUCGUGUCGUGAGAUGUUGGGUUAAGUCCCGCAACGAGCGCAACCCUUAUCUUCAGUAGCCAGCAUUACGGAUGGGCACUCUGGAGAGACUGCCAGGGACAACCUGGAGGAAGGUGGGGAUGACGUCAAAUCAUCAUGCCCCUUAUGGCCAGGGCUACACACGUGCUACAAUGGCGUAAACAAAGGGAAGCAGCCAUGUGAAUGUGAGCAAAUCCCAAAAAUAACGUCUCAGUUCGGAUUGUAGUCUGCAACUCGACUACAUGAAGCUGGAAUCGCUAGUAAUCGCGAAUCAGAAUGUCGCGGUGAAUACGUUCCCGGGUCUUGUACACACCGCCCGUCACACCAUGGGAGUCAGUAACGCCCGAAGCCGGUGACCUAACCGAAAGGGAGGAGCCGUCGAAGGUGGGACCGAUAACUGGGGUGAAGUCGUAACAAGG